rnacentral:lncRNA from 1 species
CAAAAACUGAAUCUUUCAUUAAUCAUAAGUGUUUUGUGUUUUUUACUUGCUAUAAGUUGGUUUGUGUUGGUUUAUGAUUAACAACAGAAAAUACAUUACUUCAACAAAUGUUAGUUUUUUACACAUUAGUUAUAUAAUCUCCUAUGAAAUGGUUUAUCUAAAUCUAAUUCCCUGCAGGAUGCCUGUUAAAAAGAAAAACUGAAGAAAUUUUUAAAACUAGAUGAUGCCAACUAAAGAAGUUGAAACACAGUUAUUCAUGGUGUCAUAUCAAGUCUUCAGUUCUCCAGUAUUUAUUUUUAUAUUUUAUUAUAUGUUAUGUUGAUUUUAUUUUUUAUUUUUGUUAUUUUUAUAACAACAAACUAUGUGAAUAUUUAAUUGUCCUGCCCUACCUCAGUCUGACUAUUAUUAUAACACGUAUAUGGAUUUAUAUAUUGUAUUGAGUUAGCUUGUGAUUUGUACAUGUGAUUUUGUUUGCCUAGUGUUUGUUAGUUAUAUGCAAGAUAUGGCAUGGUAUGGCACACUGCAUGGUAUGCCCUAAAUAAUAUUAUCAAUAAAUAUUUUUAUCUAUACUUUGUAAACCGUUAUUCAUAGUGUCAUAUCGAGACUUCAGUUCUCCAGUAUUAAUUUUUAUAUAAUAGAAUAGUCAAAAAUAGAUUAGAAUCGACAGAAUAGACAGAAAUAAUAGAAUAGAA